CAGCCGCCGCGGUAAGACAGAGGGUGCAAGCGUUGUUCGGAAUUACUGGGCGUAAAGCGCACGUAGGCGGCUUUGUAAGUUAGAGGUGAAAGCCCGGAGCUCAACCCCGGAAUUGCCUUUAAGACUGCAGAGCUAGCAGGUGAGAGAGGUGAGUGGAAUUCCGAGUGUAGAGGUGAAAUUCGUAGAUAUUCGGAAGAACACCAGUGGCGAAGGCGGCUCACUGGCUCAUACUGGACGCUGAGGUGCGAAAGCGUGGGGAGCAAACAGGAUUAGAUACCCCGGUAGUCCCUGUCUCUUAUAC
rnacentral:rRNA from 1 species